GGUCCUGGGACUUCACGGUCCUCUCACGGGUCGUGACCUCAUCAAGCUGAGCCCAGCUGUUACGGUCAGGUCGACAGGGCGGUGUUCCAUACCGAUGAGCGAUCUUUUAAUAGUCUGGUUAUUGAUCCGUCAACUGUUGGAGUCGGAGCUCGCUGCAACUUCCUGUCAAAGCAAGAGGAGCAGAUGUAAACGUCGGGACCUGUCAACUGAGAGCGAGAGAGAGAGGCGAAGAGGGAGAAAUACUUCCCCUGGGCUAAAAAGGGUGCUUACCGGAUACUCACCAACAGUACCUGUCUGAAGCACAUGAUCCUGAUGGUCCAGGCAGGACGCACAUAACUUUGAGAGCAACCAGCACAACAGGGGACCUGGUGACUUUCCUCAACAAGUUUGCCGACACCCAGCUGAAGCUGCCCCGAGGAUAGGAGAUCAAGARAGACCCACAGGGCAAGGUUGUUUUUCGUGGACCACAACAGCCCGGGCAACGACCUUCAGUGACCCCAGGAUCCCCGUACAGAACGGCCGUCUGCCCAACCACCGGACCCACAAGCAGCACCUGCACAGGAGAUGUGUUUAGGCAUCCGAUGUGUCCCGGAGUCGAGUAGCGUCCCUGAUUCACAGACCUGGGAACAGCCUGGUAGUCGCCAUACGAAGCCAGCACCACUCUGACUCCACACCGUGAGGACAAUGACCCAACACACCUCCAGGCUGUGUAAGGGCUAU